AUUGAACGCUGGCGGCAUGCCUUACACAUGCAAGUCGAACGGUAACAGGUCUUCGGAUGCUGACGAGUGGCGAACGGGUGAGUAAUACAUCGGAACGUGCCUAGUAGUGGGGGAUAACUACUCGAAAGAGUGGCUAAUACCGCAUGAGAUCUACGGAUGAAAGCAGGGGAUCGCAAGACCUUGUGCUACUAGAGCGGCCGAUGGCAGAUUAGGUAGUUGGUGGGAUAAAAGCUUACCAAGCCGACGAUCUGUAGCUGGUCUGAGAGGACGAUCAGCCACACUAGGACUGAGAAACGGCCCAGACUCCUACGGGAGGCAGCAGUGGGGAAUUUUGGACAAUGGGCGCAAGCCUGAUCCAGCAAUGCCGCGUGCAGGAUGAAGGCCUUCGGGUUGUAAACUGCUUUUGUACGGAACGAAAAGCCCUGGGUUAAUACCCUGGGGUCAUGACGGUACCGUAAGAAUAAGCACCGGCUAACUACGUGCCAGCCGCCGCGGUAAAAC
rnacentral:rRNA from 1 species